rnacentral:rRNA from 1 species
AUGAACGCUGGCGGCGUGCCUAACACAUGCAAGUCGAACGAAGCUCUUACGACUGAUCUCUUCGGAGUGAAGAUGUUUGAGACUUAGUGGCGAACGGGUGAGUAACGCGUGAGCAAUCUGCCUCAGAGUGGGGGACAACAGUUGGAAACGACUGCUAAUACCGCAUAAGCCCACAGCACCGCAUGGUGCAGGGGGAAAAGAUUUAUUGCUUUGAGAUGAGCUCGCGUCCAAUUAGCUAGUUGGUGAGGUAACGGCCCACCAAGGCGACGAUUGGUAGCCGGACUGAGAGGUUGAACGGCCACAUUGGGACUGAGAUACGGCCCAGACUCCUACGGGAGGCAGCAGUGGGGAAUAUUGCACAAUGGGGGAAACCCUGAUGCAGCGACGCCGCGUGAGUGAAGAAGUAUUUCGGUAUGUAAAGCUCUAUCAGCAGGGAAGAUAAUGACGGUACCUGACUAAGAAGCCCCGGCUAACUACGUG